rnacentral:lncRNA from 1 species
AGAUUACUCGCUGAAUAAAUAUAUUCACGUUAUUUUUUUUCCUUGUAGAUGAUCACGGUCGAAUACAUUGACUUUACCUCUAGAGAAUGGAUGAUUUCAGAAGAUGGCAAAUAUUGCAUGUUUGUCAAAGAAAUCCACACGUGGAUGACAUAUCCAGAUUUUUCGGGCUUUAACCACUUUGUAGGAGUCCGCUAUCACAUCGACUACUUUGAAGCCACCACUAUGAU